UUGUUGUUGUUGCUAUUUCUUGGGCCGCUCCCGCGGCAUAUGGAGGUUCCCAGGCUAGGGGUUGAAUCGGAGCUGUAGCCACCGGCCUACGCCAGAGCCACAGCAACGCGGGAUCCGAGCCGCGUCUGCAACCUACACCACAGCUCACGGCAAUGCCGGAUCGUUAACCCACUGAGCAAGGGCAGGGACCGAACCCGCAACCUCAUGGUUCCUAGUCGGAUUCUUUAACCACUGUGCCACGACGGGAACUCCUACUUUUUACAUUUUUAAUCUUACUUUUUAUUAAAGUAUAGUUGAUUUAAUAUUGUGCUAAUUUCUGCUGUAUAGUCAUAAUGCUUUAGAGUAAUAAAAAUUCUGAAUGAAGUGCAGAUUAAAGAAUAAAGCAUAAGGAACAAAAGCUGCAUUUAUGACCAAUUAAUACAACUAAUCCUUUAAAAUUUUCAUGAAAUGUUAAGAAAGUUGUCGGAAGAGAUUUAGAAAGGUUUUGCUUUUAUUAAAAUGCUAGUGUGAAUUUAGUACCUGUGUAAAACACUAAAAUGGUUCUAAAGGGAAGAAAACCUUACCUGAGAUAAUGCCUUAAUAAAUGUAAGUUAUUACUAUAUAACAAGUUUUCUACAGAAGGAAUCUAAAGGCUAUUGAAAAUCUCAGUUUUUAUUACGGGAAGUCAAAUAGUUUAGUGAAGUUGUAUAUAAACAUAGGCACAACAUAGUUAAUGCCUUUUUUGUUUUAAAAGCUUUAUAUUUUCCUCAUUCCUUUUUGUCCUCCCUUUUAAUGUAGGUCUUUUUAAAAGUAACAUCUGAUUUUCCUGAUUCAUCAGCCUAAAACCAGUCUAAAGUUCUUUCACAAAACUUCUAUCUUCUGGAACCUUUUCCUAAAGUUUUCCUGAGGAUCAGACUCUGCUUAUGAUUCAUUCAUUCAUUCAUUCAUUCAUUUCCAAUACCAAGCGAUGGGAAUACACGAAAGAGAAAAGGUCAAGGUUUCUGCUCUUCCAGGAAAAGACAAAUUCCGAAGUAAUCCUUAUGAUGCUCUAAACAUUGAUGGACAUUAAUCAUGCCGGAAUCCUGCCCCUGACCUCCUUGUUUUUUGAAGAAUGGUUAAUGUCCUGGUGAAAAUCAGAGCUUUCUGAGCUAAAGGUAUCAGGAAGCUGACCCAGUAUCCUUUCUUUUGACAAAAUAGAAGUUUAUAAAAUACUUUCAUCAAUGUCUCUGGCAUAUAGUAGGACACCUUGCCUUUCUUUUUAUAGUAUUUUUUCAUUGUGUUUCAAGCAAUCUCAUCUUAUGAAAAGCUCCAACAAUCCUACACAGGGCAUUUCUCAGUGUCCAGCUCUUAUUGGACCCUAAUAGUUAUGUUGACUUGAGACAUUUCAAAGAUCUUGGAAGUAAAACAAAAUGUUUUCAAUAGAAAGCAUAUCAAGCUGCUAAAUUAUAAGACCUGAGUUGUAACCCAAGCUUUAUUAGUGUCCACUUAUAGUCCUUUCCUGCUUGAGACUCUGUUUACUUAUCUGCAAAAGGAAGGGCUAGGGUAGAAAACAGUGAAGGGUCUAUGUUAGGUAGUUAUGGUCGUGUAACAGACCACCCUCAAACAUCAGUGUCUCAAAACAGUAAGCAUAUAUUAUUGCUCCAGAGGCAGAUUUGGGUCAUCGAGGUAGUCCUGCUAACAUGGGCCAGACUCACCUGAUCCUGGCUGGUGUUGCCGCUGCUUCUGCCGUGGGCUAGCCCCUCUGGAAUGGUCUUUCCCAUGGCUGUUAGCUGGGCAAUAAGAGAAUGUCAUGUACUUGUCAUCCAGCAGGCUAGCCUGGGCUUCUUCUCUUAGCCAAAGCUUGUGUCCCAAAAGCAUGGAACCUUGGGAUGUACAAAGCCUCUUAAAGCCUGUUCAUCCUACCACAUUCUGUUGGCCAAAGCAAAUCUCAAGGCUAGCCCAGAACCAAGAGAUGGGGAAAUAGGCUCCACCGUCUUAUUGAAAAAUCAUAGAAACAGGGAGGAGUGAAAAAUUACAGCCUGUUUUGAAAUUAAUUGACUUACAGGCCCCUUUGAGCUCUAACUUUCUGUUAAACCGGUAAGUGAUCUAAUUGGUUAUUUGAAUACCUACCACUGUGCUUAGGCACUGAAAGAAAUACAAAAGAAAGAAAAACGCUUGACUUUAUGGAAGGCACUUUGUAUUUUACAAAAUCAUUUUCACUUUCCAGAGAAACAUAAAAUAAAAGAUACCCUUGAGGAUCUGGCAAUGUGGUUAAGCAAAUAAGGCUCAUAUAUUAAAGCAGAAAACAUUUCAAGACCAUCUAUUUUUCUUCUGGAUGGAAACUUGUGAGAGCUACAGGACACAGAAAAGAAAGUGGCAAAUGUGGGCUGGAAUUGUCUACCAAGCCUUGAAGGGUGAGGUGGCAGUGGUUAGAUCCAGACUAAUGUGAUAUUUUUCCUUUUGAUCACCCCUUAUAUUUAUUCACGCAGAGAGAGUAAAAGGUAUUUUAAUUAAGCCAAGGAAACAGAGAGUUUUGCAGAUGAAUACUUAAUCUCAAAACUUAUUUCCUGCUAGUUUAAGGAAGAAGUUAUAUCUUGACUACAGAACUUUAGUAAAUAAAAACUAUUCUCAAAAGAAUAUUUAGUUUUCUCAAUACUCAUCAAGUAUUUUUAAGUAGUGGUUCCUUUGAAUAAAGUGGGUGAAAUUAAUUUCAGCCACUGGCAGAGAUUGCUAGCUCUUCACUAAAAUCCACUUCCCCUUCCUACAUCUCCCAGCCUCUUGUGCAGUUGGAUGUAUCGUUUGAUAGAGUUCUGUCUCAUGGAAUGUGAGUGGAAAAACAUAUGCCACUUCUAGGCUUGCUCUAUGAAACCCCCAAUGAGUGCUUUUCCAAAUAUCCCCUUUUAGGCAGCUGGAUUGGCCACACCCAGGGCGACUUUGGAAGCCAUUGACGGAUAUUGUAAGAACUGCUGUCAACCCAUGAUCCUAAACAAUUGUCUAGAGAAGAACCCCUCUUUCAAAUGGGAACAUUUGCCAGAAUCAUUAACAUGAAAUUGUAUUGUGUUUGACACAAUACAUAGUGGACCUAUUUGUUUUAUCAAGAAUUUUCUAUUUUUAAAUUUUUAUUUAUUUAUUUAUUUUCUUUUUAGGGCCAUACCUGCGGCAUAUAGAAGUUCCCAGGCUAGGGGUCAAUUUGGAAUUGCCCCUGCUGGCCUACACCACAGCCAUAGCAACGCCAGAUCCGAGCUGCCUCUGUGACUAUGCUGCAGCUCAUGGCAAUGUUGGAUCCUUAACCCACUGAGUGAAGCCAGGGAUCGAACCCACAUCCUCCGGAUAUCCUUAACCCACUGAGUCAUAUGGGAACUCCAUAAAGAAUUUUCUGGACUUUUGUAUCCACAGACAUUACUUUUGAUACCAAGUUAAGUUUGUCAAACACUUAUUGACUCUUUUCCAUCUAAAAAUGGCUGAGCUCAUUGCUUCAGGAAGUGCAAAAUCUGAUAGGAUAAACACAUAUAUAAAAGGAUGAUUAUUGUACAAGGUAGUAAACAUAUUUUGGGUUAAAACCUAAAUUAAUAUAUCAUAGAAAUCCCACUAUUUAGUGACUCAAAUAAGACCGCAAAUUCUCUUUUUUGUAAUAGUUCAGAGUAAAAGUAGGCAGUCUGGGAUGGGUGGGCAGUUCUAUUCUGGAGAGUUAUAAUUAUCAAUACUGAUAAGAAUAAUUACUAUUGGCCAUUAUUAAUAAUGAUCAUUAUUAUUAUAGGUAGCAGUGACUGGCACUUACUCUGUGUUAAGCUCUUUUUCAAGUCCUUGGGUAUAAUCGCUUAAUAGUUACAAACCCCAUAUGCAUUAGGCACUGUUCAUUUUCCCAUUUUAUAGAUAAGAAAACAUAGGCAAAAGUUGCUGAAGUAAUUUACCCAAGAUCCACAUAGCUAGGCCACGACUUCACUGGGCUUUGAACAAGUCUGAGCCUAGGCUGUUAACCAUCAUGCUGUACUUAGAUAAGCAAGUUGAUGCCAUGGGUAGUCAUUGCAGUAGGAGAACAUCCAUUGAUUUGGGUGACAUUUGACCUUUAAACUCAUUUCUUUUAGUACCCAUAAACCCAGGUUGUAAUGGUGUAGUUGAUGCUUGUGGUUAUGCUGCAUUACAUUGUUUUUUAUAUGUUUUAUGUUCUAGAUGUAUCAUGAUGCUUUGAGGCAGUUCUCCUAAUUUCCAUGGGCUGCUGUUUUCUUAUACAAUCAAUAAAGGUUGCACCAGUUCAGAAAAGUUGAUGAUGACUAUUUGCAUAUGUUAUAUUCCUAAGCUUUAUGGGUCUCCAACCAGUUUAGAAUUGGGUUAAUUCAUCUUCUUCACCCACACUACAUGCUUGGUAACUGGCCUCUUGCUGAGCACAUGUAGAAUAAUACUCGAGGUAGAGGUCAUCCCGUGAACUCCCAUCAGUAGCACUCUCCAUAGGUCUUUCCUUGUCCUCUGCAUUUGCCCUGCAGCCCUCACUCAGACAGACAAUAGUGUCUGAAUUUUCCUCUCCCUCAGCCACUCCUUAUAAAGAAGGUUGGGUUUACCGGAAAGGAUGAAAAUGGUUCUGAUGUAGCAUUUUUGCUUUUUUUUGCCUGUAAUAUUCACACAAGGUGGUAUGGCACAUGUAAACCUAAUUCUCUUCUCUGAGUAGGCAUAGUCAAAAUGUGCAAAGUGCCAUUUUUAUUACUGUCCACUGCAUUUUUUCAUUUUAUCAGACUAUUGGAUUUUUUUUUUUGUCUGAGACUUAUCUCCUAUUGACUUUCAAGACAGAAUAAUUUUAGUUUUCCUUCAAAUAUUGAUUGCUGUCCUAUUUUUUUCAUUUCCUUGUGAUCAUUUUCUUGUGUAGGGAUAGGAGUGGAUAGAAGCAGAUCCUAAAUGUCUUAUCUAUGGCAUGCUGAACCCCUUUGGUGACUGAGCCAGCUCUUGGUAAUGAGGUGAAGCAGGUGCUAGAAGAUUCUUGGAGAUGUUUUCUCCCCUGGGCUAUUGCGUCUGGUCAAUGCUGAACCUCGUUGGAUUUUGUGAGAGUGUUUUGUGUGCAAGAUGCCUGGUGAAAGAGAAUCAAAGAAGGAACUAUAGUCAAUUUACUGUAGUUGGCAGCUCUUCACUGGGAACUUUAGUGAAGUGGUAAAUUAUGAUCCAGGUUGGGACUGCCACAUGUACUGCAAGAAGGGUUUUGCAAGUCCAGUAAGCCUAACAAGGGAGUCGUAAACUGCAGGCUGCCCUUUUAUUCCUUGAGUACAGUUGGCCUGGGCCAUUCAGGACCAAAUUAAGUAAUUUUUCUCAAUUAUCACACAUUUAUCCUCUUGGCCCAAACAAAGUUCCUGAGGUCAGGAAGUGAAUGAGGAGCUGGGGAUUUCUGUUUCUCUGACUGGCUCUGCUUCUCACUAGCCACAUUACCUUGGACAAAUUGUUUUCCCUUUGUUUCUUCUCCCUACAGCAAAGCUAAUUCUGGCUCCUGGAAUUCAUGGGCGGGUGUGCGGUGGCCUUGUGCAUGUACCACAUUGGAGUUUGAAUCUCUGCUUUGCCACUUACCCAGUGUAACCUUGGUCAGGUUGCUUCAUCUCUCAACCUUCCAUAUGGUCUCUCAAGUGGGGAGAGUCAUGUCUACUUCACAGGACUCUUAUUUAUUUACAGAUUAAAUAAGACUGUGCCCAGGUAUCACCAAGCACAAGAUCUAGCACACGGUAGGUGCCUAUUAAAUUCUUGUUAUUAUAUUUCAUUAUUAUUAUUACUAGCUAUUAUCAAAUUCUCAAACUGGAUGAGAUGCUGGCAAAAGAGCAACAGAGGUGCAAGAAAUGUUCUUUUAUGAAAACAUCAUGCCUAUUGCUAUGUAAAGGCACUACUUUCCAAUGUAGUAGUAAUUAUUAUAUUAAUAUUAGAAAGUUGUUCUUUAGAGGCUUAUUUUCACAAGUAAAAGAGAGUAACUUUGGACAUCUUCUGAGGUGUGAGUCCAUGUGUCAUAGUGGAAAGAACACGUGACUCCAGAGUUGCACAGAUCUCGCCUUGAAUUCUGGCACUGCAUGUCCUAGCUUUGACCUUGGAAAAGUUAUUUCCUCUAGGCCUCAGUUUGCUUGUUUGUAAAAUGAAGAUGAGAUGAUAAUGUUGGUUUAAACAAGACUUAUUUUGGAGUUCCCGUUUGGAGCAGUGCAAACAAAUCUGGAUAGUAACCAUGAGGUUGCGUGUUUGAUCCCUGGCCUCACUCAGUGGGUUAAGGAUCCGGUGUUGCCGUGAACUGUGGUGUAGGUCACAGACACGGCUCAGAUCCCAUGUUGCUGUGGCUGUGGCUGUGGUAUGGGCUGGCAGCUGUAGCUUUGAUUACACCCCUAGUCUGGGAACCUCCAUAUGCUGCAGGAGCAGCCCUAAAAAGCAAAAAAAAAAAAAAAAAAAA
rnacentral:lncRNA from 1 species